UGUCUGUUUCGCGGGUUUUAUCGGUUUCGAACGAUUGUUGUGAUGAACUCAAUCUCAAGACUUUAAUAUCUCUACGAGAAGAUGAAACUAAUGCUUAAGAUCACAACCGAUUCAAAUAUUUUUUAAAUUCUCAUAAAGAACGUCGUAAUAAGAUGAUGGCAUAUAAAAAACACACCAUUAACCCUGGCUUUCCUUUAGAACAAAUACCGUUUGGACCGUAA